UCGACCGCAACCGAGUAGCUCUCUGCCUCACGAAAGACUUGGGUAGUGAGAUGUCCUGGCACAUCAAAAUUCUCACUACCUUGUCUUUCAUGCGGAUAGAGCACAUUCUUCGUUACCGAUUA
rnacentral:precursor_RNA from 12 species